rnacentral:tRNA from 1 species
GAGAGGGGUUAUGAAACACAGAAGUUGCUAACUAUCUACUACCUUAGCUAGAAUCUAAGGCCCACUCG